rnacentral:rRNA from 1 species
UACGUAGGGUGCAAGCGUUGUCCGGAAUUAUUGGGCGUAAAGAGCGUGUAGGCGGCCCGAUUAGUCCGCUGUGAAAGUCCUGGGCUCAACCCUGGAAUGCCGGUGGAUACUGUCGGGCUAGAGUCCGGAAGGGGCGAGUGGAAUUCCUGGUGUAGCGGUGAAAUGCGCAGAUAUCAGGAGGAACACCAAUGGCGAAGGCAGCUCGCUGGGACGUGACUGACGCUGAGACGCGAAAGCGUGGGGAGCAAACAGG